GUGGGGAAUUUUGGACAAUGGGCGCAAGCCUGAUCCAGCCAUUCCGCGUGCAGGAUGAAGGCCUUCGGGUUGUAAACUGCUUUUGUACGGAACGAAAAGCCUCUGGUUAAUACCCUGGGCUAAUGACGGUACCGUAAGAAUAAGCACCGGCUAACUACGUGCCAGCAGCCGCGGUAAUACGUAGGGUGCAAGCGUUAAUCGGAAUUACUGGGCGUAAAGCGUGCGCAGGCGGUUUUGUAAGACAGGCGUGAAAUCCCCGGGCUCAACCUGGGAAUUGCGCUUGUGACUGCAAGGCUGGAGUGCGGCAGAGGGGGAUGGAAUUCCGCGUGUAGCAGUGAAAUGCGUAGAUAUGCGGAGGAACACCGAUGGCGAAGGCAAUCCCCUGGGCCUGCACUGACGCUCAUGCACGAAAGCGUGGGGAGCAAACAGGAUUAGAAACCCGUGUAGUCC
rnacentral:rRNA from 1 species